GACUUGGUAGCGGAUGGCCCGCGUCUGCUUAACAUGGACAGGAUUUCUGAACCUACAUGUGGAAGCCGCCUGUUCGAAUCAGGCCCGAGUCC